UACAGAGGUCUCAAGCGUUGUUCGGAUUCAUUGGGCGUAAAGGGUGCGUAGGUGGCGUCGUAAGUGGGGUGUGAAAUCCCGGGGCUUAACCCCGGGACUGCAUUCCAUACUGCAGUGCUUGAGGACUGGAGAGGAGACUGGAAUUUACGGUGUAGCGGUGAAAUGCGUAGAGAUCGUAAGGAAGACCAGUGGCGAAGGCGGGUCUCUGGACAGUUCCUGACACUGAGGCACGAAGGCCAGGGGAGCAAACGGG
rnacentral:rRNA from 1 species